CCACCUCCUCCAGGAAAGCCAGAAGGACGACGCCCACAAGGAGGAAACCAGCCCCAACGUCCCCCACCUCCUCCAGGAAAGCCACAAGGACCACCCCCACAAGGAGGAAACCAGUCCCAAGGUCCCCCACCUCCUCCAGGAAAGCCAGAAGGACGACCCCCACAAGGAGGCAACCAGUCCCAAGGUCCCCCACCUCAUCCAGGAAAGCCAGAAAGACCACCCCCACAAGGAGGAAACCAGUCCCAAGGUACCCCACCUCCUCCAGGAAAGCCAGAAAGACCACCCCCACAAGGAGGCAACCAUCCCAAGGUCCCCCACCUCAUCCAGGAAAGCCAGAAGGACCACCCCCACAGGAAGGAAACAAGUCCCGAAGUGCCCGAUCUCCUCCAGGAAAGCCACAAGGACCACCCCAACAAGAAGGCAACAAGCCUCAAGGUCCCCCACCUCCUGGAAAGCCACAAGGCCCACCCCCAGCAGGAGGCAAUCCCCAGCAGCCUCAGGCACCUCCUGCUGGAAAGCCCCAGGGGCCACCUCCACCUCCUCAAGGGGGCAGGCCACCCAGACCUGCCCAGGGACAACAGCCUCCCCAGUAAUCUAGGAUUCAAUGACAGGAAGUGAAUAAGAAGAUAUCAGUGAAUUCAAAUAAUUCAAUUGCUACAAAUGCCGUGACAUUGGAACAAGGUCAUCAUAGCUCUAACUUUAAUAUACCAAUAAAAUAAUCA
rnacentral:lncRNA from 1 species